rnacentral:rRNA from 1 species
UACGUAGGGGGCAAGCGUUGUCCGGAUUUAUUGGGCGUAAAGAGCUCGUAGCCGGUUCCGUAAGUCGUGAAGUCAAAUCUCUGGGCUCAACCCAGAAUCGCUUCCGAUACUGCGGUGACUGGAGUCCGGUAGGGGAGUGUGGAAUUCCUGGUGUAGCGGUGAAAUGCGCAGAUAUCAGGAGGAACACCAACAGCGAAGGCAGCACUCUGGGCCGGUACUGACGCUGAGGAGCGAAAGCGUGGGGAGCGAACAGG